UAGGGAAUCUUCCGCAAUGGGCGAAAGCCUGACGGAGCAACGCCGCGUGAGUGAUGAAGGUCUUCGGAUCGUAAAACUCUGUUAUUAGGGAAGAAUAAAUGUGUAAGUAACUAUGCACGUCUUGACGGCACCUAAUCAGAAAGCCACGGCUAACUACGUGCCAGCAGCCGCGGUAAUACGUAGGUGGCAAGCGUUAUCCGGAAUUAUUGGGCGUAAAGCGCGCGUAGGCGGUUUUUUAAGUCUGAUGUGAAAGCCCACGGCUCAACCGUGGAGGGUCAUUGGAAACUGGAAAACUUGAGUGCAGAAGAGGAAAGUGGAAUUCCAUGUGUAGCGGUGAAAUGCGCAGAGAUAUGGAGGAACACCAGUGGCGAAGGCGACUUUCUGGUCUGUAACUGACGCUGAUGUGCGAAAGCGUGGGGAUCAAACAGG
rnacentral:rRNA from 1 species